AGUCUAGGGCCUGUCGGUAAGGGCGUGAAACAUGAAAUAACAAGGGAGAGACUUUGAACUUGUUUAUCCUAACUGAAAAGUGUGAAUUGAUAGUUAAUUGAAACAUCUUAAUAGACUAUGAGGAAUACAUCAACUGAGAUUCCCCUUGCGUAGCGGCGAGCGAUAGCGGAGUAAUUGUCUCAAACAGAUAAUUAAGAUGAUUGGACAUCUAGACUAAACCCCAAUAGACACCUAUAGAGAAAGUACCGUGAGGGAAAGACUUAGAAUUGGUUCUGAAAGUUACCUUUUGCAUAAUGGGCCUGCAAGACAAAAUUUGGCAAGCUUAAAUAGUAAAUGAAGGCGUAGUGAAAGCAAGAGAAAACUCGUAAGUCAAAUUACCCGAAACCAAGUGAUCUAACCAUGGCCAGGUAGCUAUGCUGACCGAACCAGUGAUUGUGGCAAAAAUCUUGGAUGAGCUGUGGUUAGCGGUGAAAUACUAGUCGAACUUGGAUAUAGCUGGUUCUCUACGAAACUUAUUUAGUAAGGCGCCCAAGUUAAUUCACCCCCAAACCCAGGGGCUUGAAUUAUUGGUGUAGUAAGACUAUGGCGAUAAGGCCCCUAGUCAAGAGGGGUAAGCCCUAACCAGAAAUUUAAGUCACUAAUACAGAGUAAGUGUAUAAAGAGGGUUCAACUUAGACAAACAGGAAGUAGGCUUGGAAACAGCCAUCUGCACAGGAAAACGUAAAAGUUCACUGAAUAAGCUAGGAAACUCUAAGAAUUAAGGCGGCUAAAUCUGUAACUGAAAUUCUGGAAGCCAUACAAAAAGGAAAUAUUAAUUGGCUUGGUAGUAGAGCGUUCUGUAGGCACUAUUCGUGCACACCUCGUGAGAAAAACAGAAGUGAUAAUGCAGGCAUAAGUAGUACAAGAUUUACUCCCAGAUAAAUAUAUACAGCUUCUAAGGCAUUACGCCCGAUGGACUAUAAUUCUUGUAUUUGUUCAGGAAAAAUAUUAUGUUCUUUCAACUGUUAUUAUGGGAAUUAUAUCUGGGCAUAAUUUCUCUUAAGGAACUUGGCAAAAUAAGAUCUCGACUGUUUACCAAAAACAUAGCUCUCUGCUAAAGGUUACUGAAGUAUAGAGGGUGAAUUC
rnacentral:rRNA from 1 species